rnacentral:rRNA from 1 species
AUUGAACGCUGGCGGCAUGCCUUACACAUGCGAGUCGAACGGCAGCGGGGGAGAAGCUUGCUUUUCCUGCCGGCGAGUGGCGAACGGGUGAGUAAUACAUCGGAACGUGCCCUGUAGUGGGGGAUAACUAGUCGAAAGAUUAGCUAAUACCGCAUACGACCUGAGGGUGAAAGUGGGGGACCGCAAGGCCUCAUGCUAUAGGAGCGGCCGAUGUCUGAUUAGCUAGUUGGUGGGGUAAAGGCCUACCAAGGCGACGAUCAGUAGCUGGUCUGAGAGGACGAUCAGCCACACGGGGAGUGAGACACGGCCCAGACUCCUCCGGGAGGCAGCAGUGGGGAAUUUUGGACAAUGGGCGAAAGCCUGAUCCAGCAAUGCCGCGUGUGUGAAGAAGGCCUUCGGGUUGUAAAGCACUUUUGUCCGGAAAGAAAUGGCUCUGGUUAAUACCUGGGGUCGAUGACGGUACCGGAAGAAUAAGGACCGGCUAACUACGUGCCAGCCGCCGCAGUAA